rnacentral:tRNA from 1 species
AGAGAUGUGGCUCAUUGGUAGAGUACUUGCCUAGCAAGCAGGAGAUCCUAGAUUCAAUCCCCAGCACCACAC